GGGGUAAAAUCCGUAGAUAUCACUAGGAAUACCGAAAGCGAAGGGCGAUCUCCUGGAACAUAACUGACGCUAAGGCGUGAAAGCGUGGGGAGCAAACGGGAUUAGAUACCCCGGUAGUCCCACGCCCUAAACGAUGAACACUAGUCGUCGGGAUGCUAGUCAUCUCGGUGAUGCACUUAACAGAUUAAGUGUUCCGCCUGGGGAGUACGGUCGCAAGAUUAAAACUCAAAGGAAUAGACGGGGACCCGCACAAGUGGUGGAGCAUGUGGUUUAAUUCGAAGAUACGCGAAGAACCUUACCUAGCCUUGACAUUGAAGAAACACACUAGAGAUAGAGUGGUGCCCUUCGGGGAAUCUGAAAACAGGUGCUGCACGGCUGUCGUCAGCUCGUGUCGUGAGAUGUUGGGUUAAGUCCCGCAACGAGCGCAACCCUCGUCCUUAGUUGCCAGCAGGUUAAGCUGGGCACUCUAAGGAGACUGCCUUCGUAAGGAGGAGGAAGGUGAGGACGACGUCAAGUCAUCAUGGCCCUUAUGGCUAGGGCUACACACGUGCUACAAUGGGGCGUACAGAGAGUUGCGAUACCGCGAGGUGGAGCCAAUCUCAUAAAGCGUCUCUCAGUUCGGAUUGAAGUCUGCAACUCGACUUCAUGAAGCUGGAAUCACUAGUAAUCGUAGAUCAGCAAUGCUACGGUGAAUACGUUCCCGGGUCUUGUACUCACCGCCCGUCACACCAUGGGAGUUGAUUUCACCCGAAAUUGGGAAGCUAACCUUCGGGGGGCUACCACUUACGGUGGAAUUAGCGACUGGGGUGAAGUCGUAACAAGGUAGCU
rnacentral:rRNA from 1 species